CUGCCUUUAUAAUUAGGUGUGAAAAGGUAGAGUUCAAAACUAAAAGUUCUCGUAAUGGCCGAGGAAAAUAGAGGGAGGGGAUACUGCCCGACAUACGGUGAAGGCAAUGACAGUCGUCAAUUAGAUGUGGCUAUAACGAUGGUAAACAAAGAAACACCAGAAAAUAAAAUUCCCUUGAUGCCAAAACAUUCUAAUGAUGCAGAGAAACCACACUGGAGGCAGUGGUGCAAUGAGAUUAAAAAGAAACGUAUAUAUGCAGUCCUCCUGUUUUUGAUUGUAGCCGCAGCUCUAUCCAUUCUAUUUUUGGUUCUUUUCGGGGAGGGUAUUUUUAAAAGCCUUUUCAAUAAAUGAAACACUAAAAUUAACAAAGCAGGACAUAACAUUUUCAUAUCUGUCUUGUUUAUCUCUUUUUUGCAGUUUAUGGCGGAUUAAUGUACUGUUAAAUUGUAUACAAUUGUAAUAUCUUUAUCACUGUAAACCACAGUUGUAAGAAAGAUAAACUGAUUUUGUGGCGAACGAUUUUCUAAACUGGGCCCUUUCAUAUACUGUUUAUCUUAUAUCAAUGGUCGUAUUUGUCACAUUAUCUUGAGUGGCAAAAUUUGCGAAUUUUCACCGCAUUUUUAUCAACUUUUUGUUAACACUAUUGUAUUAAUAUGUACCUUACAUUAUAUAUGCAUGUUUUGUUAACUCAAACCUGUUUGUUGAUGUCUCGAUUGCAAACUAUGCAUAUGAUGAAAACAAUCAUUUCGUGUUACCAAUAAUUCCUGCACACCACUCAAAAACAUCACAAAGCAGCAUGUUUCCUUUAUGACGUAUCAUUCUGUGUCAGUGAUGUUUUAAAAUAUGUUGACUUAUCACCAAAAAAACAACCACGGGAGCGUGUUUAUUACUUACUUGUGUUGAGUAAAACGAAUGAACUAAACAUCUAAUUUUCAUGCGUUUCUUUGCAUCAUUUACUAGAGCUAAAGGUCAAGAUUUUCUGUUGAAAUAAACGUACGAAUAUCUAACAUGAUUUAAGAUGUGAAAGGCUCUCAAUGACUGUACAGCUUGAUUAAAAGGUGACAUGGAAACAUUAUUUUCGAGACAUCAACCAUAAUGACAUACAUGUAAUGUGUCUAGCACAAAAAAUACAUUCUAAACCAACUUAACUAGAUAUGAUGUGUCAAGUAUUUAUUUUGCUGUUCAAUGAUUAAAUAGUUCAGGUAACUGUUUCAUAUUACUUGUUUUUUAAUUUGUUUUAAUACGUCAUUCAUAUAUAGUUAACUUUUUGUUUGGUUUUGUUUGUAUUUUCCUUCUUUAUACCAUUAAUUGAAUGCAGAUUUCCGCUAUAAACAGCAAUAUUUCUAAUUGUAAACGUGAAUGCAAUUUUGUAUACUACGAAAAUAUAGCCAGUACGAAUUUUAAUGAUUCCACAGUAUAUGAGAGUGUUACCAAAGUUUUAAAGAGCUUCAUAUUUAAUAAUGAAUUUUGAUAAUACUAGAAUUGUUGUUCAGGUGAGCGAUGUUAGCCAUGGGUCUUCUGUUUAUUGUAAAAUUCAUAAAAACAUUAAAUGGCGAUAUAUUGUAAUAUUUUAUGAUUUUAUGUAUGUUUUGACUUCAUUUAAGUCAAAAAUAUUUAACAUGUAGUUGUUUAUCAUGAUUUGAAUUUAGACAAAUUAUAUAAUGCAUUUUUUGCUUUAGGUUUGUUUUAUCAAUGGUUUUUGCCACUGAAUUUUA